ensembl:lncRNA
CCCGUGGAGAUGAUGGAAAAGCAGCUACCACGGAGGGCACAGCAUGGCCCGAGGCAGGAGGAGAGGUGAAAGGGCAUGGGUUUGGGGAAUAUUCAGGGAUCAAGUUGACUUAGAAUCCCAGUGGAAAGCAGUUAAAAAAAUGAAAACCCCAAACCAAAGAAGUGAACAUAAAACCCCCCAACAAGACUCAGGUCAUUUCUCACAGGUCAGGCGAGGUGAAAAGAGAAACCAGAGACCAAUAGAGACCAAGUAUGUAGAACCAGUGAGUUGUCUGGAGGUAGGAAGAUAAAGGAGAGGAAGGACUCAAAGAUGAUCCUGAGGUUCUAAGCUUGGGUGUCUGGGCAUCGUGCUGGAGUGAGAGGCCAGGAGGAGGGAUUGGUUGGAAAGAAUGGAAAGACGAUGAGUUCAGGAUUGCCCUUUUGAGCUUGACGUUAAUGCCUGGGAACCUCCAUAUGCCGCGGGAGCAGCCCUAGAAAAGGCAGAAAGACAAUAAAUAAAAAAUAAAUAAAAAAAAUUAAAAAUAAAAAAGUGGAAACUAUUGAAUAGAGUUCUUUAAAGUUAUUCAUCAAUGCCUGUCCACCGUGUUCUGCAUUAGAGUGGAUAAUAGCAGUACGGGUGAUGUUUUCUUUUCCAGCAAUCUUUUCACAGCACUUCCUACUUAUGUGAAUACUGAAAAUUGCUGACAUAAUUACAAGGAUCCAAUUGAUCCAAAGUAUUCUCGGGAAGAGACUCCUAAAAAUAUCAUCUAUUUAAAAGUACUCCUCUUCACCCGUUCUUCACUUGGAAUGUUCAGUUUUCAGCAGGCGAUAUUUGAAACCUCCGGGUUUGGUGGCGGAGUGUAAGCAUAGACCCCAGUUCUCCCCAGAUUCCUAGCGGAAUGGCUGGAAUGGUUGAGAAAUAGGGGAAAUCUGCAUGGACAAGAGAAAGCAGAAGCAAAGAAGGAUUCAGUCCCUGUGGCAGAAAGUGAGGGGAAAUUUUGUUAGCAGUUCCUCCGUGGGGCUGGACUGUAGUCUGGAUUGUAGGAUGUCCCAGCGCCUUUUCCCCUCACUGGGUCCAGAAAAUUAGCAUGCGACCGAGUGAUGCAGCGUUUGGAGAUGGGGGCACAUUGAGGGCCAGCUCUUGCGUAUGUGACCACAGCAUCUUGAGACUGAGGUUGCCUUUGCAUGUCUCCCCACAUCCACUUGGCCCUCUUCCAAUUCCUUCUGCUCCCUGGACUCCAUGAUCCUUUUAAGAGGUAGGUCUGUCGUGUGAUCCCUUUGCUCAUAUGCUCCCAGAGGUUUCUUUCGAUUGUUUUUAGGACCAAGGCGGACAUCCAGAACCUAGACCUCUCUUGCCUUCCAGCCCCGUGUCUACUAUGCCUUCCAUGCUGCAGCCAUACUGACCUCAUGGGCACUGCCAGCCCUGGCUUUUUGCACUGACUCUGAACCAGUUCUACCACCUGGACCUCCUUCUUGCCCCUCUUUCCUGGUUAAUUCCUAAUCGUCCUUCAGACUUGACCCCAUGGCUGCUUUCUUAGGGAUCAUCAGAAAUCUGUGCACUCAUGGACAUAUGGUGAUUCUGAUUGUACAGUCAUUUUCAUGAUUAGUUACUUAGUAUUUGCCUCACCUGUUAGACUGAGCUCCACUUAGGAGUGGUAUCUGGCUCUGUGCACCAUUGUAUCCCUAGCUUUUAGCAUAGAACUUGGCAUAUUCUAGAUAUUCAGUAAAUAUUUAUGAAAUGAAUGGAUGAAUAGAUUGACAGAUGGCAGCGUUUGGGUUUUAACAGCUACCUUGGAUGCCCUUGACCUUUGUACCCUACGCAGAUACCUGCCACAAGCAAAGGAGCGGGCAUAGUGACAGGAAAAAUCUUGGUGUGGCUGCCAAGAGGUUUUGGAAACUGGGACACUGUCUGAAGAAGAGGAUCCACAUCCACAGAGAUGUUCAUUCUGUCUCUUUUCCUGUCCCAUGGGCUGCUGGAUAUUCAUAACUCUUAAGACUGUUUUCUACCUCUUCCUCUUCUGCUCUGGAUCAUUUUCUCUUUAAUCUAGAUAAGGAUGUGUCUCUAAGGAGGAUCUGGAUGGGCAUCCACAACAAAUUCUGCCAGAAAGCAGCUCAAUUUCUAUUCGGAGAUUAUUUUUAUUCGAAAAAUAAGGCUCCCUCAUGGAUUCUGUUAAGCGAUUCUGUUAUUCAAAAGCAAAGGAUCACGGUUUUCCUGAGGCUUCAGAGGAAUUGUUUCCUCUGUGAUGGAUUGACCAUGGGAUAUGAGAUGAUCUUAGAAAAUUUUGUUCUGCUUUCGAUAACACAUGAGGGGAUGUUGCAUGUAUGACGCUGCAGCAGGGUAAGCAGACCAUUAGCUAAAGGAAAGAGAGGAAGAUUACACAGCUGAAAGAUGGGAGAGUCAGCUCAUAGAAAUAAUGACAAGUGCCGAUGCUUAUUGAGCACUUAUGAGGGGCCUCGGCAUUUUUUUUAAAGGCCUAUGUGUUUUAACUCAUUUAAUUUUCAUAACAGCCCUAUGAGGGUUAUGCAGGUCUUUUACUCCAUUUAGGAAACCUCUGUAGAGGAGUCAGUUGACAAUAGCACACUGGAAAAUAGUCACAAAAAAUGAAGUAGAAAAAAAACUUGAAGAAAAAAUUUAAACCUAAAAGGGAUGAAAAUAUGGAGCAUGUGAACUCUGGGGAAACUGUAGUAGCUUUUAAUAGUGUUACACCUGGGUGGUGAGAUUAGAGAUAGUUUUUAUUUUCUCCUUUAUACUUCUCAGUAUUUUUUAGCAGGAACUUUUAAACAGACACUGUUCUUUGAACAAAGAGCGUAGUUGGCAGAAAGCAUCUAAGCUUUCCAAUAAAGAGUCUUAAGUAAUUCAAUGAAAAUUAAAUUGCACCCAGAGAUGGUGUUUAGGGAUUUAGGCAAGAGUGAAGGAAGCAGCCACAGUAGGAAGUCAACCUCCUAAUUGGGGAAACAGACCAGAGAGAUUCAUGUUGCUGAAGGAUGGUGGUGACUGUGCACUUUCACUCUUCCAACUGGAGGAAAAGAAAAAAAAAAGAAAAA